rnacentral:rRNA from 1 species
UACGAAGGGGACUAGCGUUGUUCGGAAUCACUGGGCGUAAAGCGCACGUAGGCGGAUUCGUAAGUCAGGGGUGAAAUCCCGGGGCUCAACCUCGGAACUGCCUUUGAUACUGCGGGUCUUGAGUCCGAUAGAGGUGGGUGGAAUUCCUAGUGUAGAGGUGAAAUUCGUAGAUAUUAGGAAGAACACCGGUGGCGAAGGCGGGUCUCUGGGCAAUUCCUGACGCUGAGGCGCGAAAGCGUGGGGAGCAAACGGG